rnacentral:rRNA from 1 species
UACAGAGGGUGCAAGCGUUGUUCGGAAUUAUUGGGCGUAAAGCGCGUGUAGGCGGCCGUGCAAGUCGGGUGUGAAAGCCCUCGGCUCAACCGAGGAAGUGCGCCCGAAACUGCAUGGCUUGAGUACCGGAGAGGAUGGCGGAAUUCCCCAAGUAGAGGUGAAAUUCGUAGAUAUGGGGAGGAACACCGGUGGCGAAGGCGGCCAUCUGGACGAACACUGACGCUGAAGUUCGAAAGCGAUGGGGAGCA